CAGCCAUGUCAAGUCGAAACAUCAGUUUUCCUAUGAUCACCAAAGUUAAGCAACAUUGAGCCUGGUCAGUACCUAUAUGGGUGAUCGCUUGAGAAUACCAGGUGCUGUAAG